CCUUCGUCAAACAAUAUAAAGUUAACGGUUGUACAAUAUGUAUAUAAUAAUUUACAUAUAUAUGAUGUGGUGAGAUAUGAUUGGAUCAGAAUUUCUUCAACUAAAAAAAAAAACAAAGCUUCAACGCUCUCUUUGACACCUCGUCCACAUCUGUAUGUAAAUCAUUAUGUAACUCUAUUAUAUACAAGCAGCAUUAUCCUAAAGCUAAUUUGCCUUAAUCACAAGAAGGAAUGAUAUACUAACGAGAAACUAGAACUACAUGUAUCCUUGGCGCCAAAUUUUGCAAGAAAUUAUAAUGAUACAAAUUAUGAGCAAGUUAAUCAUAUAGGUACAGAAUUUAUUUUCUAUGAAUUAAAAGUUUUUCAGCUGUAUAUCUUAAAGCAUAAUGGCAAGUUCACUCUAAAAAUGCACACAUUUUGAAUUAUGUACUUAACAGGAUAGGAGUUUAGUUGAUCAGGAUUAGUGUGAUCAUUGAAUAGAGCGAAGUAUAGACACUCUUACUUGAAUAGCAUGUAUGUAUUCCAUAUGUCGGAAACAGAUACGGAGUCAGGAGAUACAAAAAUAAAUAAAUAAUAAAUAUCGCAUUGGACUAAUACAUAGAAGGAAAUAAAUAAAUGGACUCAAACAACCCUGGGAGGUCUAAGGUCAAGGGCUGAUCCCUAUCUCCAUUCCUUGAUUGGGAAGACCAAUACUCUCUAUAUGCUCCCGAGUUUGACAUGAUGGGGUGUGAUUGCGUCCUAUCUUUACAUAUAUUUUAACAUGUCGGCUAUGUGACAAAUAUUUUCAAGACACACUUCGUGUACAUAUUUGACAAACCAUCAUAAUACUAAUAGUUCCAACACAAGAGGAAUAUGAAAUCCCCAUUUCAUAAAUUUUGAAAAAAUAGUAAUAAGUAAAUAUUUUCAAGCACUAAAACAUUUUUGUAAAAAAUUUCUAAAAACUUCAUAUCACAUUUGCUCUACAUCUACAAUGUACAUUUUCCUUUCUCUAUCUACUUUUCGAUUUCAAAAGUUUCACUUGCAAAAAUGUAAAAAAUGUAAAUCGACUUGUUUGUGACUUCGCGUCAUUAGCAAGAUUAUCUAUAAAUACAAAAAUUAAUGGAUUACUUUGAGCACAUUUUUCUUGAGUGUAAAUGUAGCUUCUUUAUCUAAAGAAGGGAAAAUAAUGUACAAAAGAGAGAUGGAUGAAAGAAAAAAAAGUUACAUUAAUCCAUAUUAAAAACAUGGCAAGAAUCAUAGGUAGAAGUUGGUAGGCGAACAUUAAUAUAAUUGUCAAGAAUUGGUAACACACGUGUUUGAUUGAUAUUAAGGAAAAAGUAACAAGCAUACAAGUAUCAACAUGUGUGAAUCUAAUUACUACAACUUGGACAACUCCGAAAGAGAGAUCUACAGCAAUCUAAAAGACAGAGAGAAAAAAAAAAGUUACAUUAAUCCAUAUUAAAAACAUGGCAAGAAUCAUAGGUAGAAGUUGGUAGGCGAACAUUAAUAUAAUUGUCAAGAAUUGGUAACACACGUGUUUGAUUGAUAUUAAGGAAAAAGUAACAAGCAUACAAGUAUCAACAUGUGUGAAUCUAAUUACUACAACUUGGACAACUCCGAAAGAGAGAUCUACAGCAAUCUAAAAGACAGAGAGACACUACUUUACGGAAAGUAACUUAAAUACAUACAAUGAACUUGGCUUAUAAAGAACAAAAUCUUGCCUUUUUCUCUCUCUUUUCCUUUUCUAAAUUAUAUUCAUCUUCUGGAAUAAUUUAAAAAAGGGUUUGUUUGAUGCAACUUGAUUAUAAUUAAAAAAAGAAAAAAAAAAAUGAUUAAUUAAGCAGAAAAAGUAAUAAACAUACC
rnacentral:lncRNA from 1 species